CCUACGGGAGGCAGCAGUGAGGAAUAUUGGUCAAUGGGCGCUAGCCUGAACCAGCCAAGUAGCGUGAAGGAUGACUGCCCUAUGGGUUGUACACUUCUUUUAUAUGGGAAUACAGUUCAGUAUGUAUCCUGCUUUGCAUGUCCCUUAUGAAUAAGGAUCGGCUAACUCCGUGCCAGCAGCCUCUGUACUACUGUGUAUUCGAGCGUUCUCCGGAUUUCUUGGUGUUAAAGGGAGCGUAAGCGGGUUGGUAAGUCAGUUGUGAAAGUUUGCGGAUCAACCGUAAAAUGGCAGUUGAUACUGGCAGCCUUGAGUACAGUAGAGGUAGGCGGAAUUCGUGGUGUAGCGGUGAAAUGCUUAGAUAUCACGAAGAACUCCGAUUGCGAAGGCAGCCUGCUGGACUGUAACUGACGCUGAUGCUCGAAAGUGUGGGUAUCAAACAGGAUUAGAUACCCUGGUAGUC
rnacentral:rRNA from 1 species